rnacentral:rRNA from 1 species
AUGGGGAAGUUGGUCCAAGUACUUAAUGAAUGGGAAAUCCAGCUGCUUGUGCUCCUAAGUUUUACACUACAAGUGUUCCUCUUCUUUACUGGUGGUCUUCGGCGACGACGCACCAAUGCACUCCUCAGGUUUUCUAUGUGGGUUGCAUAUCUAGGGGCAGAUUUGGUAGCAAUUUAUGCCCUGGGGUUCCUAUCAAGGCACAAGGAUGACAUCUGUGGAAAUGAUACAUUAACGGAAGCACAUCCACUUGCUUUCCUCUGGACACCUUUCCUCCUCAUGCAUCUUGGUGGGCAGGACACAGUCACUGCAUUCUCCAUUGAGGAUAACAACUCGUGGUUAAGGCAUCUGUUGAAUCUGGUGGUUCAGGUUGGUGUGGCUUUGUAUGUGUUCUGGCAGUCCACCAUGGGUCGCCGACACCAUAGCGUGCUUCUUCCGGGGAUAUUUGUGUUUAUUGCUGGAAUUAUCAAGUAUGGGGAGAGGACAUUGGCGCUCAUGUAUGGGGACCUAAAGAAUACUAGCCACAAUACCAUUGGAAAUGAAAACUAUGAGGAGCUGUAUAGGCCUGCGGAUAUUGGUAGAUAUCAAAGCAACGAGGACUUGGAUAAGCUUGCGGAUCAUGGUGAAUAUGGUGGCAUUUUUGCUUCUUGCUUGCAGUCAGCACCAGGUAUUCGGGAGCUCUUUGCUGGGCGCACCACGCACCAGAUGGAAGAUCACCACCGAGAGGUAUUGACAUCCCCAAUCCAUAUGGACCAUUUGCCCAAGUUGCUGGAGGUUGAGCUUGACUUGAUGUAUGAUGAUAUCUACACCAAAGCCAUGGUGCUUCAGACAAGGAGUGGCAUUAUAUUCCGGUGUCUAUCUUAG